GGGGAUGUAGUUCAAUGGUAGAACAUACGCUUACGAUGAGUGGGGGCCUAGGUUCAGUUCCAUCCCCA
rnacentral:tRNA from 1 species